UACGGAGGGGACUAGCGUUGUUCGGAAUUACUGGGCGUAAAGCGCACGUAGGCGGAGUUGUAAGUCAGGGGUGAAAUCCCGGGGCUCAACCUCGGAACUGCCUUUGAUACUGCAAAUCUCGAGUCCGGAAGAGGUGAGUGGAAUUCAUAGUGUAGAGGUGAAAUUCGUAGAUAUUAGGAAGAACACCAGUGGCGAAGGCGGCUCGCUGGUCCGGUACUGACGCUGAGGUGCGAAAGCGUGGGGAGCAAACAGG
rnacentral:rRNA from 1 species